AACGAACGCUGGCGGCAGGCUUAACACAUGCAAGUCGAGCGCCCCGCAAGGGGAGCGGCAGACGGGUGAGUAACGCGUGGGAAUCUACCCAUCUCUACGGAAUAACGCAUGGAAACGUGUGCUAAUACCGUAUACGUCCUUCGGGAGAAAGAUUUAUCGGAGAUGGAUGAGCCCGCGUUGGAUUAGCUAGUUGGUGGGGUAAAGGCCUACCAAGGCGACGAUCCAUAGCUGGUCUGAGAGGAUGAUCAGCCACACUGGGACUGAGACACGGCCCAGACACCUACGGGAGGAAGCAGUGGGGAAUAUUGGACAAUGGGCGCAAGCCUGAUCCAGCCAUGCCGCGUGAGUGAUGAAGGCCCUAGGGUUGUAAAGCUCUUUCCCCGGUGAAGAUAAUGACGGUAACCGGAGAAGAAGCCCGGCUAACUUCGUGCCAGCCGCCGCCGUAACAC
rnacentral:rRNA from 1 species